ensembl:misc_RNA Metazoa_SRP Metazoan signal recognition particle RNA
GCCAGGCGUGGUGGCGCACACCUGCAAUCCCAGCUACUCAGGAGGCUGAGGCAGGAGAAUUGCUUGAACCCAGGAGCUGGAGGUUGGAGUGAGCCGAGAUCACGCCACUGUACUCCAGCCUGGGCAACAGAGCAAGAUUCCGUCUUUA